UCAAUUGUACUUGCACGUUUGUUCGAUCUUUGUUCGAAGUCUCACCUUCUCUACAGCCAUCAAACACCGCUUUUCCCGGACAAGUGACUUCUCUUCCAGGCUUAUAAAACAAGUAAAUCACCGAUAGCAAAAAUGAAGCGAAGCAUUUUGAUACUUGGAAUUAUUGGCAUGGUACUAAUGUCUUUUGUUGCAAGUGCUCCAUUUAUGCCCGAACUGGAUUUUGAGAACUUAGAGAGUGGGGGCUUAACAGCGGAAGAACAGUCACGUGCCAGGGUGUCGCAAAAAAUGCUUCAAUUCAUUAAGAAAGAACUCGAUAGUGAACAAUAACAAUAACUCCACUGAAAUAUCUCAGCAAGUUAUUUCAAUAAGAAUAAACACCAUAAACAUCUUCAAUGAUUUAAGAAAAGCAUGGAGAUCACAACUUUUGUUUUCCCCUCUAUAAAUUUAUCCUCUUGUGGUUAAGCUAGAAAUUAUUGGUGUUAUAAAUUUUAUUUAUUAAUACAUUUCAUUUUCAAUCGGUUUCGAAAGUCCUUUCACUGCACGCGCUUAGUUGUUGAAAAUUUCUUCUAAAAUUCUGUUUAUUUAUAUUAUUAAGUUAUGCAAUGUACUAGAAAAU